UGUUCCAGACGACGAAGACAAAGAGGUACCAGAUUGUUGUACUAGUACCAGUAGUUCAUCAUUGCCAUCGUUGUCACCAACGUCAACGACGUCGGAAAACAAUAAAAAUAAUAAUGAUAAUC
rnacentral:ribozyme from 1 species